GUUCUUUUAUCUUGGAAAAUAGUGAAGAAUUGUAUGUAUAGGUAGUCUCUGGUCUUAAAAAAUUGUAAAUGAUUAACAAAAUUACCAAGAUCUCCGCAUACAGAGUCAGUAGUUAUUCAGUUUGGAAUAAAGUUACGCAAUUCGCAGACUCACUGAUAUAUAUUUUGCUGAAUAACAGCUUAAAAUGCAUCAAUUGGUAAAUGAACAAUUAAGUUACGUACACGUUCCAGCACCUUUAUUAUUACUGAUGCCUUUGUGGUAUCGUUAAUGCAUCUAACAAAAUAUUUCAUACUAUACAGCUAGAAUUUUGAGUGUAUGUCCUGCUCAGGUCGAAAAUUAAAGUAAUACUCAGGUACUGGAGAUGAUGCUAUCGGCUAACACUCUUCCUCUCAAAGCCGGUGUACUUUUGUCUAAAUUAGAAAGACGACCAGCGGACAUAAUCUAUAGAGCAUCAGACAAAAUGCUUGGCGGCAUUUCUUUAUCAUAUGGCACUAACUGUCAGUAACCUUACGCAGUUUUUAUGUUCUCUACUAUUGUAUUCGGUAUCUUUGCUUCAAUAAUAAAAAAAAAUUAUGAAGAAAUCCUAUAAAAUCCUUUGAUUAUUAUUCCCCAUUACAGCCUCUGGCUCGUGUUCAUACCAUUUUUUUUUCUCUUACUCUGCUUCCAGUGAUUCGACUUACUGAACCAAAAUGAAUUUCAAAUUACUAUUGAAGUAAAACUCUACAAGUCUGGAACAACAAUUUUAUAGAAAUAUUACAAAAGCAGGAGUUGCAGAAAUGUUGGGGCAUUUGGUUACAUUCCUUACCAUAUAGCAUCAAGUUAUUUUCUGCUCCAUGUUCAAAUCCAGCCAUUGCUAAGAUUUCCUAAUACCCUUUUGAAGUAGGUGCUAUUAAUGCUAUUAAUACAAUAAAAAUCUCAGAGUCAAUUAAAUCAGCCAAACACCUAUUUCAAAAUCCUGACAUUGUGCCAAUGGUAAAGAACCAUUAUUAAUUCUCAUACAGUGUAUGUCCUAAGUUCAAAACAAUUCUUCUUUGAAUUUCAUUCAAUCAUACACCUACACAUGUGAACACAUAUAUACAGGUGUAUUGAUGCAGAAAUACACUUAUUUCAUAGCAACCUGUAAAUUGUUGUAGCUAUGUGCAAUCUGAAUACUUAUAUAUGUAAUGCAUAUAUAUAUAUAUAUAUAUAUAUAUAUAUAUAUAUAUAUAUAUAUAUAUGUGUGUGUGUGUGUGUGUAUGUGUGUGUCUGUGUGUAUCAUUGCAUAUGUGUAUAUAUAUAUAUAUAUAUAUAUAUAUAUAUAUAUAUUUGUUUAUAUCAUUAAAUAUAUAUGUAUAUAUACGCACAUCCAGAUGCACGCAUACACACACACACACACGCUCACAUACACACAUGCAUAUUCACACCUAUUUUCUGCUGAAUAUUAUCACAUACGCAGACGAUUAACCAUUCAAUAUUGGUAAUUAUUUACUUUGAUACAGUAAAGGAACUCUCGAAAUUACCAGCGAGAUUGCCUUCAGCAAUAUUUAACCUAUAAACUGUUGAAGAAUAUAUAACCCGUCACUAGUGCUACAGCUAAUGUUAUAAUGUCUAUUGAAAUACAAGUCUUCAUUGCUUUGGAAAUCGAAAGCAUGGCAUUACCGUUAUUUGUAGAUAAAAGUUCAAAUAUCUACAGGCUCAUUUUCAAACUGAUCUUUAUUGAUUUCCAUGUGUCGAACUGUCUCCAUCUGCACUUCAUUCCCUAGCUCUUUCUCUUUGCCUGUCUAUAGCAUUGUCAGUGUGUGUGCUGGCAAUGUUCUAGCAUACACAACAUUCAAUAAAUACUACUUCAAGCUUCUCUUCAUCACUAUCACUUUCCUUCUCAGUCUGACAUUCUUUCACUUUCCCUCUUCUCCCUUACCGCCUGUGUAUUUAUUUCUUUUCUACGAUGAAUUUAAUUGAUAUAUAUUGUUGCUUCUAAAUUCAGUUUUUUUCCUGAUCUAUCUAUCUAUCUAUCUAUCUAUCUAUCUAUCUAUCUAUCUAUCUAUCUAUCUAUCUAUCUAUCUAUCUAUCUAUCUAUCUAUCUAUCUCUAUCAUCUAUCUAUCUAUCUAUCUAUCUAUCUGUCGCGUUGCUCUCAAGCUAUCUAUCUGGGUCGAUCUUAAGUGACUUCAACACAACCAAAGCAUUCUAUAGGGGUUUAGUGGAGGGGAGGUACGACGACGAGCUCGGGGCGAACCUGGACGUCGACGAGGAGUACCUGACCCGCCUGUUCAGGACGACUUUCGGGCCAGGGCCCAUGGACAUCUUCCAGAGAUCCCUGGCCUGGCAGUGCUACCGAGAAGCGCUACCCGUUCGGGAUAAGCUCUACAGACACGGCUCGAGAAACACGGGGCCGACCUGCCCGAGAUGCGGUCAGAGCGACGAAACCGUUCUGCACGCACUCGUUCAGUGUCCAACAAUUUCCGACCUGUGGGCUUAUGUCGAACAACUGCUGUCACGUGUGGGACGAGUCGGUUUAUCAGCUGAGUCUAUCGUCAAUAUUGUCACGCCUCCUUCCUUCAAACGGGAAGGAAGAGCUAUUUUCAUCAUCCUUGUGGCUAUGGCGAAAGAAUGUAUCUGGUGGACGCGUCUGAAAGGAUUGGAGACAAACACUUUCCUCUCUGGUCAAUCUCUCAUCAACUUCUUCAAGUACCACUUGAAAAGGAAAGUGAGAGUAGAGGCAAGUUUUGUCUAGCGAAUGUUUUAAAAAAAGAUGGGUGAAUGUAGCAAGAAUGGUACGUAUGAAUGACGAAGCCACCUUGAGCAUAGUCCUAUGAACCCAGAAAUCGAAAACAGAGAGUUGCUUAUUUGCAAAAAAAAAAAAAAAAGAAAAUAUAAAAUGUGACAUCAUUGACCGAGGUUACCGUGGUCUUUUCCGUAGGCUUUUUUCUUUGCACGGGUAAACCUCACCUGUCCUCCCCUUUACACUUCAUAUUGACAUUUCUGUGAUAACGAUCCCUAUUGAUCAAUUUUUUUUCCUCCCCCCCCUUUUUUUUAAACCCCCCUUUUUUUUUUGUCCUCUUUCUCUCCUUUUACGAUCCCUUUUGAUCGAAACUCCCCCUUCCUUUUUUUUUUUUUUUUUUUUCUUUCUUAAACCUUCAAAAGAAAAGCUCUACCUUGUAAUUUGUUCUAUCUGUGUGCAGCCCUGUGUGGCUAAUAAAGAAACAUAUCUAUCUAUCUAUCUAUCUACAACAAAUGGUGGUUUGCCCUCAAGAGAGCAGUAAAAGCAGAAGCGAUUAGGUACAGCAAAGCACUAGCCAUAGAUAGAAAUAGAGUAGAGGGUGAGCUAGUUAAGAAGCUAGAAGAGGCAAUUAGAAGCGGCAUCGCAUCCGACGUUUUGGCGGCGAGGUUGGCCCUCGACCAACACUUCAACGCCAAGCACGAAGGAUGUGCUGUCAGGCAGGAUGCGUGCUCUAAGGAACGAAGGUGUUGGAGCCGCGAGAGAGGCCCGGGUGGCAGAGGCGCAACAGGGCAACAAAGCCACCAUUCGGUCACUGGUAGAUGAACAGGGGCGCGAAUUGCUCGAGCCAAGUAAAAAAUGUGUGAAGCCUUUCAGCAGCAUUUUGCCCGACUGUUCGGAACGAGUGGAGGGCAAGAACGUAGGGUGGACUUCAGUGCCUACCUACAUAGCCUACCACGACUCUCGACAAGAAAGGCAGGGUGCUGCGAAGGUGCCAUCACGGCGGCGGAAGUGCGGGAAGCGAUGGCAGAAUGCUCGAGGGACAAAUCACCGGGUUUGGAUGGUCUACCCUACGAGCUUACAAUUGUAUGCCAGACUUGUUUGGAGAUCUCUUGGCGGCGGUGUACUGCAACUGGCAGCAAAACGGGAGCAUUCCUGGUUUUGUGAGCCGAGGAGCCGUUACACUGCUGAAGAAAGAUCUAAACAAGGGAAAUGUAAUAGAUAACUUUAGGCCCAUCACUCUGCUUAAUGCAGACUUGAAAAUUUUGACCAAGGUGCUAGCCAAGAGGUUGGCGCUUGUCAUCGAGAAACUGGUCGACAAGGCGCAAACAUGCGCCGUGCCAGGCCGGACCAUCCAUGACAACCUCCAUCUGAUGCGCUACAUCAUAGACAGGGUAGUUAACGAACCUGGCAUGGGUGGGGCCCUGAUCAACUUGGAUCAAUCGAAAGCCUUUGAUAGGGUAGACCAUCGAUACUUGGGGCAGUCCUGAGAGCGGCUGGUUUCGGUCCCGUUUUCCGCGGAUGGAUAGCUGCCUUGUACAGAGGCAUCCGUUCGGUAAUUCGCGUAAAUGGACAUCUAUCGAGACCUUUCGACAUUGCACGUUCGGUCCGUCAGGGAUGCCCCCUCUCGGCGCUUCUAUACGUAUUGACUCUUGAGCCACUACUGCGGAAGCUGGCGACUCUAAGGGGGCAUCCCGCGAGAAUUGGGAUGCGGGACGAGCGUGUCUGCAUACGCGGACGACGUCACCGUCAUAGUGUCUAGCCACGAGCACAUCGAGCGGGUCGGCGAGACACUGAAAGACUACGAAGCGGUGACAGGAGCAAAAAUCAACCGGGAAAAGUCAGUGGGCUUGCGACUCGGCACCUGGAGAAGCAAGCCCAUGCCGUCCACCAGCGCCUCCGUCGUGGGACGCUGGACAGACGGCCCGGUUGAGUUGCUCGGGGUCUGGUUUGUUCCGGACCUCCAAGUGGAGAAGAACUGGAACGAGAUAACGAGUAGGGUGGUCACUCUUGCCCGACUAUGGGCCGAGAGGAAACUGUCCCUAAAAGGUCGAGCGGAGGUGGCGAACACGUACAUCGCGUCCAUCAUCUACUACCGCCUGACCAUCGUACCUUGUCCCGACCCUACCAUCACCAAACUACAACGCAUCCUCUUUCGCUUCUUGUGGAAAGGAUGCGUCCCGAUGGUCAGGCGAUCCAUUUGCUGUCAACACCCGUUAAAAGGAGGGCUGGGCAUGCCGUGGUUGAUGAUGCGCAGACACGCGCUGAGACUGCGACAUCUCGGCUCUAUGUAGACGACGGUGA
rnacentral:lncRNA from 1 species